UCCACGCCCUAAACGAUGAACACUAGUCGUCGGAAUGCUAGCCAUUUCGGUGAUGCACUUAACAGAUUAAGUGUUCCGCCUGGGGAGUACGGUCGCAAGAUUAAAACUCAAAGGAAUAGACGGGGACCCGCACAAGUGGUGGAGCAUGUGGUUUAAUUCGAAAAUACGCGAAGAACCUUACCUAGCCUUGACAUUGAAGAAACACACUCUAUCUCUAGGUGUGUUGCCCUUCG
rnacentral:rRNA from 1 species